UACGUAGGGGGCAAGCGUUGUCCGGAUUUAUUGGGCGUAAAGAGCGUGUAGGCGGCCUUACAGGUCAGCUGUGAAAACUCGAGGCUCAACCUCGAGACGUCGGUUGAAACCAUCUGGCUAGAGUCCGGAAGAGGAGAGUGGAAUUCCUGGUGUAGCGGUGAAAUGCGCAGAUAUCAGGAAGAACACCCGUGGCGAAGGCGGCUCUCUGGGACGGUACUGACGCUGAGACGCGAAAGCGUGGGGAGCGAACAGG
rnacentral:rRNA from 1 species